rnacentral:antisense_RNA from 1 species
UGACCCCGCAUCGGGGGCCCUGGGCUGCAGAACCCAUCGAUGCUGUUGCCGUGCCCCUGGUUCUGGUGACACUGGGACCCUCCAGGUUGGGCUGAGCAGGGCCCCCCCCACCAGUGCGUACUCCAGCACCAGCGGGAGUGGGCCUGGGCAGGGGCUGAGGGAGUGACACCCAAGAGGACCUGUCCCAGCCUCCUCCUGUACCCUGGGGGUUCUCGUUUUCCUUGGCUGAGGGAAGUGGCCUCUCCCAGCUGAAACCUGGGGACAGGCUGGGCGUGAGAGCAAAGUGGUGUGAGCAGGACCCCAGGCCUUGGAAAUCCUGAGCGGGGGGAACAGGCUUUGCCUAUGACGUGCCUGGGAGCUGUCUGGGGGCCCUCCUGGGGAGCCAGGCUCACAGGUUGUUGUGUGGGACUCAACGUGGGGCAGCGUCCCGGCCAGGAGGGGGAAGGCCAUCACCCCAGGGUCUGUGGGAGGCAUAUGCAGGACAAGCUCUCGCCCACCCGGCGUGCCGAUCUGCUGCAGCCAGGGUCCCUCAGCCUUGGCCAGAACCUGAAGUCCGACCGCUAUCCCUGGGGCUCCCCAGCCAGGCAGGCACCCCCCGCUUACAGCACCAGGAGCCAAAACGGAGUCAAGCGCUCGGUGCAGGGGCCAGCCGGGGGCAGGCCUGGGGAGCCCAUCUGGCAAGGGCGGCAGGAAGGCGCCCACUCCGGGACUGUGCCUGGGCCUGCUGGGGGUCUCCAGUCAGAGAG